rnacentral:rRNA from 1 species
GUGCCAGCAGCCGCGGUAAUACGGAGGGUGCGAGCGUUGUUCGGAAUUAUUGGGCGUAAAGCGCGCGCAGGCGGCUCUCUAAGUCUAUGGGUAAAAGGCCGGGGCUCAACCCCGUGUACGCCCAGGAUACUGGGGAGCUGGAGACACGUAGAGGCAAGCGGAAUUCCGGGUGUAGCGGUGGAAUGCGUAGAGAUCCGGAAGAACACCGGAGGCGAAGGCGGCUUGCUGGGCGUGAUCUGACGCUGAGGCGCGAAAGCGUGGGGAGCGAACAGGAUUAGAUACCCUGGUAGUCC